rnacentral:lncRNA from 1 species
GGAGCUGCCAUUGAGUCAAGCUCAGUUCUCAGGCACAUUCCUGAUGCUUGCAGUUUCAAACAUGCUGCUGUGGGAGAAAGUUUCAUCCAUUCCUGCAUGUCUUGCGGAAGAGGGUGGCUGCUGGAACCCCAUUGUGGAAACAUUUAACAGUGCCAUGCAGCGAGGUGAAACCCUCCGUAAUCUUGCUGACCAAUUAUAUACAGAGCUUAACUCAAAACUGAUUAGGAGGGAUAAGACUGCUGUCAGAGCUGGAACAUACUGCCAUUCGACUCUCUCAAACUCCCCAGAUGGGGAAACUAAGCAUGCAGAUGUUGAAACCGAAAAAUAUUUAAAAAUGUUGAUCAAUUUUGUGGGUGCCUGGAUCAGCCCUCUAUACCAUCUAGUGAUUGAACUGAGUGCCAUGCAAGAUGUCCCUGAAACUAUCCUC